GUGCUAAUUACUGGCUUUGAAAGUAUAUCAUAAUGGCUUUUUAUAAUUGUACUUACGCUCUAUUAUUCUUCCUUUCUUAUUGUCUAGUCAGUGUUCCUAAUUGUACUGCCCCAGGAAAAUGCACUGAGAAGAAAUACAGCAAAACACGUGAGAUGGUGAAACACUCUGGCAACUGCAAGCAGACAGAUGGGAUUUGGGAGUCAAUGCAAGUUGGAAAACUGAAAAGAAGUGGCCCGGCGCUGUUUAGAGGAGCACUGGAUUGUUGUUACGCCCCAGAUGCUCGUAAUUUGGAGGAUUCUUCCAAACAUUACAACACAUGAAAGUGCCUGCAUCCUGCAUUGACCUAUGUGAUUGCACUAGGGAUGACAGAACACUCAGGUGGAACGGACACAGGUCUUCAAACGACUGGAGAAGAGCUAGCUGCCACCCUUGCUCUUGUCAGGACUGUCACCCAAGAGAGAAAGACCUCUCUCAGUAGGACACUGUAUGGUUGGGUCUGUUACAGAAAUUUAACCUCCACUUUAGCACGAAUGGCAUCAUGAGUCCUAUGCAAACUUGUCAGUAAGAAGAGCCUGACUCAGCAAUGAGCUCUCCAUUUCUUGCCCAAAAUGUCUCCUGCAAGAAAAACUCUGCAGAGAAAACAAGCCAGUAAAGCUUAGUCUCACCAUUCCAUGCACGCACCUACUGAUCCACACAAUUAACCCAAAAAGCCACAUUCCCUCUUUCUCACCUCCCCUGAAGAAACCAACAAAACAAAUGAAAACGAAAAUAAGAAAUGUCAAGAGUAGAAGCAUUUUCUUCCUUUGAGAAUUCAGAAUUUGGUGCCAUCAAUUAAUACCAGGGAAAUAGCAGGAAAUUUCUGGAGGGGAACGUGAAAAAAGGAGGCACCUGCUUUUCAGUUCUCUGAAUAAUAAGUCUAGGGAAAGCCAAUAUCGUUCUUUUGCAGGCAGUUCUCACAAACACUGCUAUUGCAUUUACAUUCAGUAGCUCCUUGCCUCCCAGCAAACAACAGAACCUUGUGUUUUCUGGCUUCUCUAGAGCCUGCAAAGUAGACAUCACUGAUCCCAUUCUCUAAAUGGGAAAACGGAGGCUCAGGGGUUGAGUGAUUUAUUGAAAGUGCAGCAUAAGCAAGCGGAGAAGCCAGCAGGAGAUAAGAGCUUGCCUAACUCCCCAGUCAAUUUUCAGUUCCCCAGAUAACACAGCACUGAAAUAAACCUACAUCAACACCAUAUAGUAUCA
rnacentral:lncRNA from 13 species